UAAUAUAUAGGUAACGUGCCCUAGAGAAGAGGAUAACAUUUGGAAACGAAUGCUAUUACUCUAUAUGCCUUUAAGUCAUAAGACUGCAAGGGAAAUAUUUAUAGCUCUAGGAUCGGCCUGUACGGUAUCAGCUUGUUGGUGAGGUAAUGGCUCACCAAGGCAAUGACACCUAACUGGUUUGAGAGGAUGAUCAGUCACACUGGAACUGAGACACGGUCCAGACUCCUACGGGAGGCAGCAGUGGGGAAUAUUGCACAAUGGACGAAAGUCUGAUGCAGCAACGCCGCGUGGAGGAUGACACAUUUCGGUGCGUAAACUCCUUUUAUAUAGGAAGAUAAUGACGGUACUAUAUGAAUAAGCGCCGGCUAACUCCGUGCCAGCAGCCGCGGUAAUACGGAGGGCGCAAGCGUUACUCGGAAUCACUGGGCGUAAAGAGCGUGUAGGCGGGUUAAUAAGUCAG
rnacentral:rRNA from 1 species